CCUACGGGUGGCAGCAGUGAGGAAUAUUGGUCAAUGGCCGGAAGGCUGAACCAGCCAAGCCGCGUGAAGGACGAAGGUGCCAAGCAUUGUAAACUUCUUUUGUCAAGGGACAAAAUCAGGCUCGAGAGCCUUACUGUGGGUACUUUAAGAAUAAGGAUCGGCUAACUCCGUGCCAGCAGCCGCGGUAAUACGGAGGAUGCGAGCGUUAUCCGGAUUUAUUGGGUUUAAAGGGUGCGUAGGUGGACUGUUAAGUCAGUGGUAAAAGCCUGGGGCUCAACCUCGGCUAGCCAUUGAAACUGGCUGUCUUGAGAUGUCGAGAGGUAUGCGGAAUGCGCAGUGUAGCGGUGAAAUGCUUAGAUAUUGCGCAGAACUCCGAUUGCGAAGGCAGCAUACCGGCGGCGAUCUGACGCUGAGGCACGAAAGCGUGGGUAUCGAACAGGAUUAGAUACCCGUGUAGUC
rnacentral:rRNA from 1 species